rnacentral:rRNA from 1 species
AUGGACGAAGCCCAGGCAGUCGUGUGUCGCAGGCGCCCUCUACGUGGCGCGGCCUCCGCCUCGCGUUCCGGCGCUCCACCGCCGCAUGCGGCGCGGACAGCACAAACAAAGCAUCUCCACCCGCACUCCCCACCGCGGCGAUGGCGAUGCUGCCCUCCUAGACCGCUCCCAAAUUCUCCGCCCGCAGCCCAACCAGAGAGCCAGGCCAUAGCCGCCGGCGCCGCUGACGGGAUAGAAUGCUCUGGAGGGAUCAGUGAGAUGAGUGAGGGGGAAGAAUUGUCUGACAGCUGCUGUGCAGAUAAGUUGAAUAAAGAGGAAGCGGAUAUUUGCCCCACAAGAUGCUCCAACGAUGGUUUGCACAGUCUGGCUUCAAAAAAAGGCAGCCUGCAAAGUAUUUCGGAAAAACAGGUCUACUGUGCAACCGCUGUCCAUAAUGAGAGAUCUUGGGCAGAUAAUACCUGGCGAGCUCGAUUAGUAAAAGCAAUUAGUCAGAGGGACUAUGUCUUGCCAAACAAUGCAGUGAAUGCACAGUCACCUUCAUCCUUUGGGAGUUUCAGUAAUACAAAAAAGGUCCCAGGCAAGUUGGCAGGUUUUCUAGAUAACCAAAGUGAUAAGCACCAAGAUCUGGUUAUGCAGGACAACUGUAAUGGUAAUCAGGAAGAUCAGGUUAUGCAGGAAAACUGUAAUGGUGAUCACCAAGACCAGGUUAUGCAGGAGCACCAUAAGGAUGGGCCUAUUCUUGUCAAAUGUCAGUCAGCAUCUGGUGUUAAUCCUGUUUCAAAAUGUGAUUCGGCAUCCGGUGUUAAUUCUGUUGCAAGAUAUGAGUCAACACCAGAUGUUAAUCCUGCAAAGCUUGAGAAGGGCAAAGAAAAGGUAAUGCACGACCAGAGCAAUUAUGUUAGCAACACAAAAGAGGGUGAUGAUAGCAAUGAGAGUAUGGAGAGUUGUCCUAGGAUGAAAGCUCCAAAGCGAGAGUAUGCUCAAUACUCAACAGCGGAGAUGUCUUCUCGGAAUAAAAGAUAUAGGAGGGAAUACAAUGAAAGUUAUUGCUCAGGAUUGUUGAACAGAAAUGGCAGCUCUUUCUUUAACUGGAUGUCUUCUCUGACUAAUGGAUCAACCGUGUUUGAUAAAACUACCAAUCAGAAGUUGUCAGAGACUACUGGACAUGAACUUGCAGGACAUUCUCUGCCACUAGAAAAUAACAGUAGCAAUCGUCUGCAGUCUGUUGGCUUCAAUUCUCUUUUUCAAUCUCUUUAUAGUCACAAUGUUAUGAUAACUUCAAGAGAUACCCCUCAUCAAUCAGAAAUCAAUUGCACCGAGCGUGAAGCCGACAGGCUAUCGCUGGCUUUGAAUGGUAGCAAUUCUAUGCUUGACAAGGAAAUUAGCACAGGCAGAGAAACUCUUGAUGUGGCUGUUGGGACCUUAGCUGCUGACAGCCUUCAAAUGGAGUCACCUGGUGGUAAAUGGAAUUUUAGAGAUCAAAGUGGAGUUUUCCCUUUGAGAGCCGGAAGAAACUUGAAGAUGCCUAACUCCAGUAAGUCAUGUUCUAAAACUCUUGAAGAAAAACAAAAUGAGUGCCAUGCGAGCCCUUUGAAUGCUGCAAUGGGAAAUAAAGGUGGAAUCACAGAAAGCUUGUGGGUAAGUCGGCUUUUACCAAAAACAUCAAUGAAAUUGAUGGAUGCAACUCCGUGCAAUGUAAAUAGUGAUUUUUGUGCUGUCAAUCCAAAGGGUGCAGGUGAUAAGCUGUAUCCUUCAUCUCAACAGAAUGUUAAUGUGGAGAAGGAAUUCAACAGUUCACAAUACUUCACUAGCACAGGAAGUGACAAUGAGACAACAAGUAGCAAAUGCCCGGUGAUUCCUCCAGAGCAACAUAAGCAGUCUGAAACAAUGGCUUCCAUUCUUGCAAAGAGAUUGGAUGCGCUUCGACAUGCGAAGACCUCUGCAAUUAGGUUGGCUAUCUCCAGUGGAAUAUCUAAAGACCAUAAUCACAGAAAGAGUCCUUUUUUUAUUAAUUACAGCAGCCAUGAUGGACUAGAGACAGGACAAGGAACUCAAAAAUCUUCGAGUGGUGGUGGAAGGCUAGUUUUGUGGUCUGGUGACAAAGGAAAGGAACAAUUAUAUCCUCUCAGUGAUGAGGAAUUAAGAGGAAACAUGUUGGCAAGAGGUGAACAUCAGCAAUGUGGAGGGAGCAUGACUGGAAAGGCUGUAGCUCCUCAUGAUAAUUUAGAAGCAAACACAUCUGCUGAAUAUGUUGAUAGAAGAGGAGUACAAAUAAAGGAAGUGGGUUCAAAUUCCAUGGAGAGUCUGCCACAUAACAAGCAAAUUGUACCUUAUAAUAUUAUUACAAGUGACAUUGAUCAAUCAAGUGUUGUUUUUGGAGCCUUGCAGAGGCUUCGUUUGUCUCGAUCAGACAUCAUAAGAUGGUUGACGUCACCAAUAAUGCACACUACCUUGGAUGGCUUUUUCUUGCGUCUACGAUUAGGUAAAUGGGAGGAAGCAUUGGGUGGCACAGGAUACCAUGUCGCUCGGAUAAAUGGAGCAUUGGAUAGAAAUCGCCUCUCUGUAACGAUCCGGAAUUCAACUUGCCAAGUAGAUUCUCGCUUUGUAUCCAACCAUGGCUUCCAUGAGGAUGAGCUCAAGGCGUGGUGGUCUGCUGCCAUGAAGGGUGGCUGGAAACUACCGUCGAAAGAAGAACUUAGCAAGAAACUAAGAGAAAGAGAGCUACUUCAUUUCGGAAACGGAACAGGUCAGCCGGACAACACCUGAUGGCAGUACCCAAAACAUGGAAGAUUUCGGUCUUUACCGCCUUUCAUCCAGAAACGCCAGCGAUGCAAGCAUGAUUGUUGGUGUUGGCUUGUCUGGUUAAGUUUUGUGCUGACACUGCUAUUCUCACGAGGCUUGGUGUAGUGAUGAUAGACCCACCAUCCUUGGUAUAUUGAGAGAUUGAGGUUGUACCAAUACACGAUUCUAUUUUGCGAUGGGAUUGGCUAUUGUGUGAGAAUCCUAUCUGUAAAUAGGAGGCUGCUGCCAGAAUAGUACAAAAUGUACAACUGUUGACUAUACUUAGAAUAAGAUGGAUGUUCAUUGCUUGCGGGAUUCGGUUCGUGAGGCAUACUGUAUGUACUAAACACUCGGUCCGGAUCCUGUGAGUGGUGAGUUCAUCACCCAGCAUUUUUUUAGGGAAAGAUUGCAAUUAUAUUAAAACAUCAUUUGGUCAUUACAA